rnacentral:rRNA from 1 species
AUUGAACGCUGGCGGCAGGCCUAACACAUGCAAGUCGAACGAGUGGCGGACGGGUUAGUAAUGUCUGGGAACCUGCCCGAUGGAGGGGGAUAACUACUGGAAACGGUAGCUAAUACCGCAUACCAUCGGAUCUGCCCAGAUGGGAUUAGCUAGUAGGUGGGGUAACGGCUCACCUAGGCGACGAUCCCUAGCUGGUCGGAGAGGAUGACCAGCCACACUGGAACUGAGACACGGCCCAGACUCCUACGGGAGGCAGCAGUGGGGAAUAUUGGACAAUGGGCGCAAGCCUGAUGCAGCCAUGCCGCGUGUAUGAAGAAGGCCUUCGGGUUGGAAAGUACUGUCAGCGGGGAGGCGUUACCCGCAGAAGAAGCACCGGCUAACUCCGUGCCAGCCGCCGCGGUAAUAC